rnacentral:rRNA from 1 species
GACGAACGCUGGCGGCGUGCUUAACACAUGCAAGUCGAACGGAAAGGCCCUGCUUUUGUGGGGUGCUCGAGUGGCGAACGGGUGAGUAACACGUGAGUAACCUGCCCUUGACUUUGGGAUAACUUCAGGAAACUGGGGCUAAUACCGGAUAGGAGCUCCUGCUGCAUGGUGGGGGUUGGAAAGUUUCGGCGGUUGGGGAUGGACUCGCGGCUUAUCAGCUUGUUGGUGGGGUAGUGGCUUACCAAGGCUUUGACGGGUAGCCGGCCUGAGAGGGUGACCGGCCACAUUGGGACUGAGAUACGGACCAGACUCCUACGGGAGGCAGCAGUGGGGAGUAUUGCACAAUGGGCGGAAGCGUGAUGCAGCAACGCCGCGUGCGGGAUGACGGCCUUCGGGUUGUGAACCGCUUUCGCCUGUGACGAAGCGUGAGUGACGGUAAUGGGUAAAGAAGCACCGGCUAACUACGUG